UACAGAGGUCUCAAGCGUUGUUCGGAUUCAUUGGGCGUAAAGGGUGCGUAGGUGGUGACGCAAGUCUGGUGUGAAAUCUCGGAGCUCAACUCCGAAAUUGCACCGGAUACUGCGUGACUCGAGGACUGUAGAGGAGAUCGGAAUUCACGGUGUAGCAGUGAAAUGCGUAGAUAUCAGGAGGAACACCGGUGGUGUAGACGGCUUUCUGGACCGUAACUGACGCUGAGACACGAAAGCGUGGGUAGCAAACAGG
rnacentral:rRNA from 1 species